rnacentral:rRNA from 1 species
UACGGAGGGUGCAAGCGUUGUCCGGAAUCAUUGGGCGUAAAGCGCACGUAGGCGGCUCUUUAAGUCUCUUGGUGAAAGGCUGGGGCUCAACCCCAUGCAUGCCGGGGAUACUGGGGAGCUGGAGACAGGUAGAGGCCAGCGGAAUUCCGGGUGUAGCGGUGGAAUGCGUAGAGAUCCGGAAGAACACCGGAGGCGAAGGCGGCUGGCUGGACCUGAUCUGACGCUGAGGUGCGAAAGCGUGGGGAGCGAACAGG